rnacentral:rRNA from 1 species
UACGUAGGGUGCAAGCGUUGUCCGGAAUUAUUGGGCGUAAAGAGCUCGUAGGCGGUUUGUCGCGUCGAAUGUGAAAACCCGGGGCUCAACCCCGGGCCUGCAUUCGAUACGGGCAGACUAGAGUCCGGUAGGGGAGUGGGGAAUUCCUGGUGUAGCGGUGGAAUGCGCAGAUAUCAGGAGGAACACCGGUGGCGAAGGCGCCACUCUGGGCCGGUACUGACGCUGAGGAGCGAAAGCGUGGGGAGCGAACAGG